rnacentral:rRNA from 1 species
UACGGGAGGCAGCAGUGAGGAAUAUUGGUCAAUGGAGGCAACUCUGAACCAGCCAAGUAGCGUGCAGGACGACGGCCCUAUGGGUUGUAAACUGCUUUUAUAAGGGGAUAAAGGAUGCCACGUGUGGUGUUUUGCAUGUACCUUAUGAAUAAGGACCGGCUAAUUCCGUGCCAGCAGCCGCGGUAAU